GGAUUCCCCUAGUAACUGCGAGUGAAGCGGGAAAAGCUCAAAUUUAAAAUCUGGCGGUCUUAUGGCCGUCCGAGUUGUAGUCUGGAGAAGUGCUUUCCGCGCUGGACCGUGUACAAGUCUCUUGGAACAGAGCGUCAUAGAGGGUGAGAAUCCCGUCUUUGACACGGACUACCAGUGCUUUGUGAUGUGCUCUCAAAGAGUCGAGUUGUUUGGGAAUGCAGCUCAAAAUGGGUGGUAAAUUCCAUCUAAAGCUAAAUAUUGGCGAGAGACCGAUAGCGAACAAGUACCGUGAGGGAAAGAUGAAAAGCACUUUGGAAAGAGAGUUAAACAGUACGUGAAAUUGCUGAAAGGGAAACGCUUGAAGUCAGUCGCGUUGGCCAGGACUCAGCCUUGCUUUUGCUUGGUGCAUUUUCUGGUUGACGGGCCAGCAUCGAUUUUGACCAUUGGAAAAAGAUUAGGGGAAUGUGGCACCUUCGGGUGUGUUAUAGCCCUUAGUCACAUACAGUGGUUGGGAUCGAGGACCGCAGCACGCCUUUAUUGGCCGGGGUUCGCCCACGUUCGUGCUUAGGAUGCUGGCGUAAUGGCUUUAAACGACCCGUCUUGAAACACGGACCAAGGAGUCUAACAUGCCUGCGAGUGUUUGGGUGGAAAACCCGAGCGCGUAAUGAAAGUGAAAGUUGAGAUCCUUGUCAUGGGGAGCAUCGACGCCCGGACCUGAACUUCGGUGAUGGAUCUGCGGUAGAGCAUGUAUGUUGGGACCCGAAAGAUGGUGAACUAUGCCUGAAUAGGGUGAAGCCAGAGGAAACUCUGGUGGAGGCUCGUAGCGAUUCUGACGUGCAAAUCGAUCGUCAAAUUUGGGUAUAGGGGCGAAAGACUAAUCGAACCAUCUAGUAGCUGGUUCCUGCCGA
rnacentral:rRNA from 2 species